GGUAACCCCCUUGGAUCCCCUUCCACACUGUGGGAGGUUUGUUCUUUUGCUCUUUGCAAUAAAGCUUGCUGCUGCUCACUCUUUGGGUCCAGACUGUCUUUAUGAGCUAUAACACUCACCGGGAAGGUCUGCAGCUUCACUCCUGAAGCCAAGGAGACCACGAACCCACCGGGAGGAAGGAACAACUACAGACACGCCGGCUUAAGAGCUGUAGCACUCACUGCGAAGGUCCGCAGCUUCACUCUUGAGCCAGAGACCACGAACCCACCAGAAGGAAGAAACUCCAAACACAUCCGAACAUCAGAAGGAAAAAACUCCAGACACGCCGCCUUUAAGAACUGCAACACUGCGAGGGUCCGCGGCUUCAUUCUUGAAGUCAGUGAGACCAAGAACCCACCAAUUCCAGACACACUACCAAAGGCAGAGGGGAGCUCCUAGACAAAGAUAUUUUGCUUACAAAUGGAACAUAUCAAAUCAAGCUUUUGUGAACUUGAGGGAAGAAACAAAGAAUAUGAAGCCUAAAUGGAAGUGUCAGGAAAUGGUCGCCUUGCGGACAAGGAAACAGCAGCCUGGAAGGCCAGGAGAGGGCAGACUACCCACCUAACCCUCUGCAGAAUUUUGUGUGGACCCUGGAGACCAGAAACUAACUUCUCCUGCAGAGACAAGGUCUUGCUCUGUCACCCUGGCUGGUCUUGAACUCCUGGCUUCAAGCAAUUCAUCCAUCUCAGCCUCCUGAGUAGCUGGGAUUACAGAUGACUUGCUGCAUGUGAAGAACAGUUCCUGGCACAGGGUUUGCUCCAAAUAAAUGUUGUCAUCAUCACCAGCACCAUCAUCGUCACCAUCAUCAUAAAUGUAAACAUAAUAAUAGCAAAUACCUUACUGAGCUUAAAUGUAUGUUUAAUUCAAUGUAUUUAAAAUUAAAUCCUUUAUCUCUGCAUUUUGCUCAA
rnacentral:lncRNA from 1 species